GACGAACCGUGCGAACGUUGUUCGGAAUCACUGGGCUUAAAGGGCGCGUAGGCGGGCUGACAAGUCUGGGGUGAAAUGCCGCGGCUCAACCGUGGAACUGCCUUAGAUACUGUCGGCCUCGAGGAAGGUAGGGGCAUGCGGAACUGUAGGUGGAGCGGUGAAAUGCGUUGAUAUCUACAGGAACUCCGGUGGCGAAAGCGGCGUGCUGGACCUUUUCUGACGCUGAGGCGCGAAAGCUAGGGGAGCAAACGGG
rnacentral:rRNA from 1 species